UAGGACUGUUAGAAAUUAAAAUUAGUUAAAAAAAAUGUUCUGCCUUAUUGUCCAAGCCCCGCAUCACAACCCAAGCGAUACAUAAACCCAACCAUCCUUAAUUUCAGUAGUUUCUUCUUUCCUUAAGGCUACACCAUGUUCCAUCAAUGCACCAAUUAAAACUCAAAAAUCAACAUGUUUUAUCCUUUUCUCCUUCAAUUAAACAUUCAAAACAACUCAUAAAUCCCAAAUUUUCUACUGGUAAAAGGAAAAAUAUUCAACCUGGUGCUGUGAUUAGAGCCAAUCAAUAUUCAUUCUUUGCCCUCAAAUUUUCACUUAAUUCAAAGACACUAGAUUCCUUACUCUUUGAUUCAAACUCAGAUACUGUAGUUUUCAAGCCCUUCUCCCACCAUGUAACUCAUACGUUGAUUGAUCAACAUGUCUUACAUCAGAGGGAAAUCUGAAUCCUAGGUGCUGGUGCACAGUAGCCAAUUUACUCUCAUGACUGUCCUUUUGGGGAGGAGGAAAAAGGAGGGAGGGAGAGAAGGGAGGGGGCCCGGGCCCGGAUUAGAGAGAGAGAGAGAGGAAGAA
rnacentral:misc_RNA from 1 species